CCUACGGGUGGCAGCAGUGGGGGAUAUUGCACAAUGGGGGAAACCCUGAUGCAGCGACGCCGCGUGGGUGAAGAAGCGCCUCGGCGCGUAAAGCCCUGUCAGCAGGGAAGAAAAUGACGGUACCUGAAGAAGAAGCCCCGGCUAACUACGUGACACCAGACGCGGUAAUACGGGAGGGGCAAGCGUUAUCCGGAUUUACUGGGGGUAAAGGGGGGGCAGGCGGCGUUGCAAGCCAGGCGUGAGAGCCCGGGGCGCAACCCCGGGACUGCUGUUGGAACUGGGUGGCUAGAGUGGAGGAGGGGCAUGCGGAAUGCCUGGUGGAGCGGUGAAAUGCGUAGAUAUCAGGAGGAACACCGGUGGCGAAGGCAGCCUGCUGGACUGCAACUGACGUUGAGGCCCGAAAGCGUGGGGAGCAAACAGGAUUAGAUACCCCGGUAGUC
rnacentral:rRNA from 1 species